rnacentral:rRNA from 1 species
CAAUAGCGUAUAUUUAAGUUGCUGCAGUUAAAAAGCUCGUAGUUGGAUUUCGGGUGGGAAUGGCCGGUCCGCCGUUUCGGUGUGCACUUGCUACGCCCACCUUGCUGCCGGGGACGUGCUCUUGAGUUCACGCUCGGGACACGGAGUCGGCGAGGUUACUUUGAGUAAAUUAGAGUGUUCAAAGCAGGCCUACGCUCUGAAUACAUUAGCAUGGAAUAACACGAUAGGACUCUGGCCUAUCUUGUUGGUCUGUAGGACCGGAGUAAUGAUUAAGAGGGACAGUCGGGGGCAUUCGUAUUUCAUUGUCAGAGGUGAAAUUCUUGGAUUUAUGAAAGACGAACUACUGCGAAAGCAUUUGCCAAGGAUGUUUUCAUUAAC